rnacentral:rRNA from 1 species
CCUACGGGUGGCAGCAGUGAGGAAUAUUGGUCAAUGGGCGAGAGCCUGAACCAGCCAAGUCGCGUGAGGGAAGACGGUCCUAUGGAUUGUAAACCUCUUUUGCCGGGGAGCAAAAAGCGGUACGUGUACCGCAUCGAGAGUACCCGGAGAAAAAGCAUCGGCUAACUGCGUGCCAGCAGCCGCGGUAAUACGGAGAAUGAGAGCGUAAUCCGGAUUUUUUGGGUUUAAGGGGUGCGAGGGCGGCGGGUUAUGUCAGCGGUAAAAUUUCGGGGCCCAACCCCGACCAGCCGUUGAAACUGGCUUGCUAGAGUGGGCGAGAAGUAUGCGGAAUGCGUGGUGUAGCGGUGAAAUGCUUAGAUAUCACGAAGAACUCCGAUUGCGAAGGCAGCUCACUGAACUGCAACUGACACUGAGGCUCGAAAGUGUGGGUAUCAAACAGGAUUAGAUACCCUAGUAGUC